rnacentral:rRNA from 1 species
UACGUAGGGGGCAAGCGUUGUCCGGAAUCAUUGGGCGUAAAGCGCGCGUCGGCGGCCCGGUAAGUCCGCUCUGAAAGUCCAGGGCUCAACCCUGGAAAGCGGGUGGAUACUGCCGGGCUAGAAUCCGGAAGAGGCGAGUGGAAUUCCUGGUGUAGCGGUGGAAUGCGCAGAUAUCAGGAGGAACACCAAUAGCGAAGGCAGCUCGCUGGGACGGUAUUGACGCUAAGGCGCGAAAGCGUGGGGAGCAAACAGG